rnacentral:rRNA from 2 species
GCCAUGCAUGUCUCAGUGCAGCCGUACGCGUUCGCGCGUCUAGGUGAAACCGCGAAAGGCUCAUUAAAUCAGUUAUGGUUCCUUGGAUCGUACCCAUCAGUUACUUGGAUAACUGUGGUAAUUCUAGAGCUAAUACAUGCCGACAGAGUUCCGACCGCCUCGCGCGGGAGGAACGCUUUUAUUAGAUCAAAACCCAUCGCGGUGCGUGGCUUCGGCCCGUACCCGACAACACUCGGUCCGUUCGCGGGCCGACCAAGUGGUGACUCUGAAUAACUUUGUGCUGAUCGCACGGUCUCAGUGCUGGCGAUGCAUCUUUCAAAUGUCUGCCUUAUCAACUGUCGAUGGUAGGUUAUGCGCCUACCAUGGUGGUAACGGGUGACGGGGGAUUAGGGUUCGAUCCCGGAGAGGGAGCCUGAGAAACGGCUACCACAUCCAAGGAAGGCAGCAGGCACGCAAAUUACCCACUCCCAGCUCAGGGGAGGUAGUGACGAAAUAUAACGAUACGGGACUCAUCCGAGGCCUCGUAAUCGGAAUGAGUACACUUUAAAACGUUUAACGAGGAUCCAUUGGAGGGCA